rnacentral:sRNA from 1 species
UCAACCUGGUGCAGAAUAUGCCGCUGCAAAAAAUGAGAAGAUUAACCGACGUUCAACGCGUCGGUUAUUUUUUUGC